rnacentral:rRNA from 1 species
CACCAGCGCCACGAGUGGGAAUCGGUAUUAUUGGGCCUAAAGCGUCCGUAGCAUGUCUUGUAAAUUGCUUGUGAAAUAGGGUGGCCUAACCAUUCUGAGUGCAGGUAAGACUGCAAGACUAGGGACCGGGGGACGUGUGAGGUAUUCAUGGGGGAGCGGUAAAAUGCGAGAAUCCCAUGAGGACCACCUGUUGCGAAGGCGUCACACAACAACGGGUCCGACUGUGAGGGACUAAAGCUAGGGGAGCGAA